rnacentral:rRNA from 1 species
GGUCAAGUUAUGUAGGGCACAUGGUGGAUGUCUGGGCACUAGGGGCCGAUGAAGGACGUGGGAGGCUGCGAUAAGCCUCGGGGAGUUGUCAACCGAGCUGUGAUCCGAGGAUGUCCGAAUGGGGAAACCCGGCACCCGUGAUGGGGUGUCACCCGCCGGUGAAUAUAUAGCUGGUGUGGAGGGAACGCGGGGAAGUGAAACAUCUCAGUACCCGUAGGAAGAGAAAACACUAGUGAUUCCGUGAGUAGUGGCGAGCGAAAGCGGAGGAGGCUAAACCGUAUGCGUGUCAAGUUGUCAGGCGUUGCGUGUGCGGGGUUGUGAGACCUGCCGUCCAGGGACUGACAUUCCUGGGGAUGGUUUGCAUGGUUAGUGGAACACGUUGGGAUGCGUGGCCGUAGUGGGUGAGAGUCCCGUACGCGAAAACUGUGUGGAAUUGUCUUGGUGGUGUUCUCGAGUAGCAGCGUUUCCGUGGAGGGCGCUGUGAAUCUGCCGGGACCACUCGGUAAGCCUAAAUACUUCCUGGUGACCGAUAGCGGACGAGUACCGUGAGGGAAAGAUGAAAAGUACCCCGGGAGGGGAGUGAAAGAGUACCUGAAACCGUGUGCCUGCAAGCCGUCAGAGCAGCUGCCUUGUGUGGUUGUGAUGGCGUGCCUUUUGAAGAAUGAGCCUGCGAGUUCGUGCUGCGUGGCGAGGUUAACCCGUGUGGGGUAGCCGUAGCGAAAGCGAGUCUGAAGAGGGCGUGUGAGUUGCGUGGUCGAGACCCGAAGCGGAGUGAUCUACCCAUGGCCAGGCUGAAGCGCCGGUAAGACGGUGUGGAGGGCCGAACCCACUUAGGUUGAAAACUGAGGGGAUGAGCUGUGGGUAGGGGUGAAAGGCCAAUCAAACUUCGUGAUAGCUGGUUCUCCCCGAAAUGCAUUUAGGUGCAGCGUCACAUGUUUCACUGUGGGGGUAGAGCUACUGGGUGGCUGAUGGGCCUGAUCGGGUUACUGACGUCAACCAAACUCCGAAUACCAUGGUGUGAGAGUGUGGCAGUGAGACNNNNNNNNNNNNNNNNNNNNNNNNNNNNNNNNNNNNNNNNNNNNNNNNNNNNNNNNNNNNNNNNNNNNNNNNNNNNNNNNNNNNNNNNNNNNNNNNNGCAGCGGGGGAUAAGCUUCGUUGUCGAGAGGGAAACAGCCCAGAACUCCGGCUAAGGCCCCUAAGUGUGUGCUUAGUGGAAAAGGAUGUGGAAUUGCUGAGACAACCAGGAGGUUGGCUUAGAAGCAGCCAUCCUUGAAAGAGUGCGUAAUAGCUCACUGGUCAAGUGGUUCUGCGCCGAUAAUGUAGCGGGGCUGAAGUACACCGCCGAAGCCGAGUCACUGCAACAACUGCUAACGCGGGUUGUGGUGGGUAGGGGAGCGUCCUGGGCCCGGUGAAGCCGUGACGGAAGUUAACGGUGGAGGGUGUGGGAGUGAGAAUGCAGGCAUGAGUAGCGAAUGUACAGUGAGAAUCUGUACCGCCGGAUGACCAAGGGUUCCUGGGCCAGGUUGUUCCGCCCAGGGUAAGUCGGGACCUAAGGCGAGGCCGUCAGGCGUAGUCGAUGGAGAACGGGUUGAUAUUCCCGUACCCGCGUGUGUGCGUCCAUGGUGAGGCGUCGGAUACUAACCACCCGAAGCCGCGUCGCAUCCUUCGGGGUGUGGUGUGUGUGGAGCGUGGGACCUGAUGGCGUAGUAGUCAAGUGAUGGGGUGACGCAGGAAGGUAGCUCCGCCAGUGAGUGGUAGUACUGGUGUAAGCGUGUGGCCCGCAGAAUAGGCAAAUCCGUUCUGCUUGUGGGUGAGGCGUGAUGCGUAGCCGUUGUGGUGAAGUAGAGUGAUCCUAUGCUGUCGAGAAAAGCCUCUAGCGAGUGCGUGCGUGGCCCGUACCCGAAACCGACACAGGUGGUCAGGUAGAGAAUACUAAGGCGAUCGGGUGAACUGUGGUUAAGGAACUCGGCAAAUUGCCCCCGUAACUUCGGGAGAAGGGGGGCCAGCCAUCUUGAAACCCUUUGCGGGUUAGGGGUGGCGGGCCGCAGAGACCAGCGGAAAGCGACUGUUUACUAAAAACACAGGUCCAUGCGAAGACGCAAGUCGAGGUAUAUGGACUGACGCCUGCCCGGUGCUGGAACGUUAAGAGGACCGGUUAACCCUUCGGGGUGAAGCUGAGAAUUUAAGCGCCAGUAAACGGCGGUGGUAACUAUAACCAUCCUAAGGUAGCGAAAUUCCUUGUCGGGUAAGUUCCGACCUGCACGAAUGGCGUAACGACUUUCCGGCUGUCUCAACCACAGGCCCGGCGAAAUUGCACUACGAGUAAAGAUGCUCGUUUCGCGCGGCAGGACGGAAAGACCCCGGGACCUUUACUAUAGCUUGGUAUUGGUUUUCGGUUCGGCUUGUGUAGGAUAGGUGGGAGACUGUGAAGCUGACACGCUAGUGUUGGUGGAGUCGUUGUUGAAAUACCACUCUGGUCGUGCUGGGAAUCUAACUUCGGACCAUGAUCUGGUUCAGGGACAGUGCCUGGUGGGUAGUUUAACUGGGGCGGUUGCCUCCCAAAGGGUAACGGAGGCGCCCAAAGGUUCCCUCAGCUUGGUUGGUAAUCAGGUGUUGAGUGUAAGUGCACAAGGGAGCUUGACUGUGAGACUGACGGGUCGAGCAGGGACGAAAGUCGGGACUAGUGAUCCGGCACCUCCUGGUGGAAGGGGUGUCGCUCAACGGAUAAAAGGUACCCCGGGGAUAACAGGCUGAUCUUGCCCAAGAGUCCAUAUCGACGGCAUGGUUUGGCACCUCGAUGUCGGCUCGUCGCAUCCUGGGGCUGGAGUUGGUCCCAAGGGUUGGGCUGUUCGCCCAUUAAAGCGGCACGCGAGCUGGGUUUAGAACGUCGUGAGACAGUUCGGUCCCUAUCCGCCGCGCGCGUAGGAGACUUGCGGAAGGCUGUCCCUAGUACGAGAGGACCGGGACGGACGAACCUCUGGUAUGCCAGUUGUCCCGCCAGGGGCAUGGCUGGUUGGCUACGUUCGGAAGGGAUAACCGCUGAAGGCAUCUAAGCGGGAAGCCUGUUCCUAGAUGAGGUCUCCCACCCUUUGUGGGUUAAGGCCCCCAGUAGAUGACUGGGUUGAUAGGCCAGACAUGGAAGCGCAGUAAUGUGUGUUUGAGUGGACUGGUACUAAUCGGCCGAGGACUUGCCUAC